AAAUCUACGCCUAAUUCAUAGAAACUGCACUGAUAGGGGCCUCACUUUCUCCGACCCAUAGGCCUAUUUAACGCAUUUAAAAGCACCAGAUACGAAGCGCGAGACCAAUCGUCCAACUGUCGACCGGCUGACUGUGGUGGCUUUCCGACAGCGUCAAGAUGAACUGGAAUGCUGUUCUGAUAUCAGUUAUGCUGCUAGCUUGGGUCUGUAUGGUUCGAGCGCAAGACUCGAUUCUGCUGACAAUGAAGCCCAUACUUCCGCCAUAUCAAGGAGGACCCUGGGUGUACCCAAAGCCAACGACAGCAAGACCUACCAUUCAACAGCCUUAAUUCCAUUGUAUUUCCUACAACAAGUUUUUAAUUCCACACCAGAGUGAUUCAGAAUUGUUACGUCCAUCGCACUGAUUACACUUCAUUGGUAUACCUACUUACCACUCUCAAAGAUUAUAACAAGCACAAAGAAACCAGCAAUAACAAAUAUUUUAAAUAUUACAGAAUUUGGAGAAACAGUAUCAACAUUUCGGCAUUAAAGUUUCGUACCAAAUUCGUUACAAUCACCAUCAAUGCAACGAACAAAUCAAACCCCAAAUUUAUGAUCUAAAUGCGAUCAUAUUUCCUUAGUGUCUUCCCGCAUAUCAGAUGUAAUUUUGUUAUGGUCAUCUCAAUCAACUGGUGGUGAUAGUUCAUCUUGCCAGAUGUAAGGGUUAACUUCCACAACUCAUGUAACGAGUAUGCCAUCAUAAACUGGACCUCUGGUAUUAAAUACUGGAAUUUUCUCCGUUUAUAAUAUGGUUAUACAGUCCACGACGUGGUUAGUUGAUUUCAGUUGGCAUGGACCGUCCUUUCCUCGUUUGCAUUAAAAUGACAGACAUUUUAAGUGCCACUAAAAAAAUCUUGCUUUUGGUCAUCAUAUUGGAUCUGAAAUGUGGUUAUGUGAAUAUUAAAUUGUAACAAUGAAAGGAAACAUAAAGGAACAAAAAUUUACUUCGCUUGGUUUAAUGAACUAACUCCAUGAAGAAAUGUAUUUUCUCAGCUAGUCAGUAAGAUCUCCACAUUCUAUGUAGCUAGAAUAUUCAUUACUAUAUCAGGCGAGGAGCUAGGCCGUGAAGCUAAUCAUUAUGCGAUUUUCUCCGUGAUUUGUCUCUCUCCCUCUUAGGUACAGAUAUCUUCCUCAAAGACCCUCGCACCCAUGCAACACAAAUGGCAAAAUUACACUUUCUUCUGUUUAUACGAGACCGGAGGACUAAAUGAUAAGCGCGUCCUAAAGUAAAAUUGAAAAGCAGCUGCAAUAGAGCAUCUCCCUGUUUCAGGCCAUUCUGAAUAGGAACUGUAUCGGACAAAUGUUUACCCAGACGAAUUUUGCUACAGGUUUAACUUAUACACACUUUCAUUAUCCUGACUAGGUUUGGGUGCACCAAAUCCAUAGACUUUCUUGAAGUCUAUAAAUAGUACUCCAUUUGUACUCCCAUUUUUUCUGUAGCCCACACUGACGAUCCACAAUAAUUUCACUGGUAUAUGGAGUCAACCUCGCUAGAAUAAUGUUGGAUAAAAUUUUGUAGGCAGAUGAUAAGAGGAAGAUCACUCAAUAAUUACUACAACCAGUCUUAUCAUCCUUCGUAUGAAUUUGUACAAUAAAAGAAUCAUUCUAUUGCUGUA